GCAUCCUUAGUACAGUGGUUAGUACACUUGACAUGGAAAAGAGACAUGGGUUCAACUCCCAUAGGACACA
rnacentral:tRNA from 1 species